rnacentral:rRNA from 1 species
UACGGAGGAUGCAAGCGUUAUCCGGAAUGAUUGGGCGUAAAGCGUCCGCAGGUGGCUAUGUAAGUCUGCUGUUAAAGAGUCUGGCUCAACCAGAUAAAGGCAGUGGAAACUACAUGGCUAGAGUGCGUUCGGGGCAGAGGGAAUUCCUGGUGUAGCGGUGAAAUGCGUAGAGAUCAGGAAGAACACCGGUGGCGAAAGCGCUCUGCUAGGCCGCAACUGACACUGAGGGACGAAAGCUAGGGGAGCGAACAGG